rfam:Ricinus communis cultivar Hale ctg_1100012358607, whole genome shotgun sequence.
AAACCAUGAUAUGGACAGCUUCCUAGUAAAUCCUUGAAGCAUUCCCAACAAUCAUAUAAAGUUUCAUUGCCUUACUGAAGAAACCCUGCUAUUUCAUUCCUCAGAUU